rnacentral:rRNA from 1 species
GACGAACGCUGGCGGCGUGCUUAACACAUGCAAGUCGAACGGAAAGGCCCUGCUUUUGUGGGGUGCUCGAGUGGCGAACGGGUGAGUAACACGUGAGUAACCUGCCCUUGACUUUGGGAUAACUUCAGGAAACUGGGGCUAAUACCGGAUAGGAGCUCCUGCUGCAUGGUGGGGGUUGGAAAGUUUCGGCGGUUGGGGAUGGACUCGCGGCUUAUCCGCUUGUUGGUGGGGUAGUGGCUUACCAAGGCUUUGACGGGUAGCCGGCCUGAGAGGGUGACCGGCCACAAUGGGACUGAGAUACGGACCAGACUCCUACGGGAGGCAGCAGUGGGGAAUAUUGCACAAUGGGCGGAAGCCUGAUGCAGCAACGCCGCGUGCGGGAUGACGGCCUUCGGGUUGUAAACCGCUUUCGCCUGUGACGAAGCGUGAGUGACGGUAAUGGGUAAAGAAGCUCCGGCUAACUACGUG